rnacentral:lncRNA from 1 species
UAGAUGUUAGAUUGGUGUUACCGUCGAAAGACAGAAGAGUCAGUGACAUAAGCAGUACAGUUUGGUGUCGUUCUUAUAUCUUGCUGCUGAAUAUCACUACUAGUACUUGUCAUUAGUGCGAUGCUGCUGACUUUAAAUUUCUUGUAUCCUGGAAAUUCUUUCUAAGUACAUAUCAAUAUCAAUAUUCAAACCUUAAUUUGUGUGGCAGCUGGUCUCUUCGUUUCUGCUUUUUAAACGGUGUUACCUGGUUUACAUGCAAAAAUUACUUCCUAGGUUUUUGUUUGCACCAUCGCGAUAAGCUACUUAUAUGGGGCAUAGAGUUCUACACUUGAGCUCAAUUGUGCCAUAUAGAAUUUUUUUGGCAAACAAUUUUUUUCUUGAAAUUUUUGGCAAUAAACAUUUUUGAAUUCCCUAUGAAGAAAAAGCAUUCAUAAUGCUCUGGGUGCAAGAAACAAAUUCAAUUUUCCAAAAGACUCUUUUAGAUUUUGCUGUUCAUAACAAGAGCAUAUGAGCUGGGAUUAGAAGAAUAGUUUUGACUUAUACCAGGGUUUUAUCUUCUUCUUACGCAGAGCUAAGAUCGUAUUAGUGGACAAAUGUCUAUGGAUUUCAUUUAUUGCUCAAAUCUAUGUGACACUUUGCUAAAACUUCUCGUGCGGCCCGGCCGCACCGGACCGCCCAUUUUUUGGACGACGGGGAGGCCUUCCCCAACUACCCACUCCCUUCACCUGGCAUGCGAUGGAUUCGAUUUGGAUGGGGCUCAAUUGAGGGGUUGUGCGCGUGCGUCCGGUUGCUCUGGUAGAUGGCCGGGGCACAUGGUGGCGGACCUGUCUAGGGCUGGACCAAAAGCUCGUAGCUCGCGAGCUUAAUGAGUACUCGAUAGUUCGACUCGUUAAGUUCGUAGCUCGCUUCUUAAUGAACAGAGCCAAUCAUUGAUUCUAGCUUGUUAAGCUUAACGAGCUUAACGAGCGAGCUAACGAGUUUCACGAGUAGCUCGUUAAGCUCGUUAGUAACAACACAACAUAUAUUUACAUAUUACAUGACAAACUUUUUGUAGCACCUCAGCCCAUCUAUUUAAUCUAAUCGACAUAUGAGGCAACGUACUACUUCAUUUCUUUUCUUAGUCAUAAUAUUUUAUCUUGAAAACCAUACCUACACAUUCAUCAUGUAUAUCGUAACACAUUAUAAUCUGUUAACAAGCGCUCACGAGCUUAACGAGCUUCAAACGAGCCGAGCCGAGCAUGGUUUUCUGCUCGUUAAUCUUAAUGAGCUUAACGAGCCGAGCCUUAACGAGCACGUGCUUAACGAGCCGAGCUGCUCGUUAGUCCAGCCCUAGACCUGUCCGUUGAGGUGGUGGAUGCAUGGGAGAUGCCACGAGGGGAGAUGGGCUGGCCGGAUUAGCUGUGGACCGAAGGUUUUGAAGGGCUGGGUGAAAACCUGUUGGCCAUGGCUGGAGCCUGUGACGGCAUCAUUGAUGGUGAUAGAUGUCGUAAUCUUCUUGAAGGCGUCAACGUGAUGCUCUCUCUUCCUCUAUGAGGGACAGCUCCAGGGGAAACCCCAAAUCCGGAGGGUUGGUCGUUGACGACGUGUUGGCGUCGUUUCCGUCGAUUCUGGAGUUUAAUCCGGCUAGAGGGACUAGUGGGUGUGCCGAGAGGUUGGGUGGCGGAAGGUGUUGGUGUGGCGUCGAGGCUUCUAUGCAAUGAUGAUGGGGACGAGUGAAGUCGGGGGCGUGGCAGUGGUUGCGGUAGUCGGCUCUUCUCCGACGUAUCUAUGGGAUUACCUCGGUAUGUUUGUUGUGGUGAAGUCGGAGUUGCGCUGCCCUCAGCGCGGGUGGCUGGGUUCUGACAUGGAUCUUCAUGUGUUCCUGCACAACCUCUGCGAUGUGUGCUGGGUCGACGUUUGUCUACCUCGAAGUCGGAUUUGCUUGCUCGAGGAUUAGGGAUGGCGAUGACGCCUGCUAGAGGAGAAGUGAUGACGAUGACGCAUAUGUGCUAACUCGAUGCGGCACUUUUUGUAAAGGUGUGUGUAGGAUAUCUUAUGUUUGCCGCUCAGCGGAUUGUGACGAUUUUCGUUUGUUUUUUAAUUAAUUAGGCAAUUCUCUUCUGCUUAACUAAUGAAUGAGUCAAGUGAAGUCUUUUGCCUCAGUUUUGAUUUUAUUUAUUUAUUUCGGAGAGUACUCGUGUUCCUUUUUAUUAUUGGUGCUAGAUUUGCUUAUAAAAGUCUUCAGCUCGUGCUAAUCGAUUAGUAGUACUUAUCCAUGUGACGCGAGUUCCCAUCUUUUCUUUGGUACCUGGACGGGAUACCCGAUUGGAUCCAAAUACAGUACAGGUCAUACUUUGUUACGACUUUCGAGUGUUCCAGGACUCGAUGUUUUGUUCUACAGACAGACUUAUUUUGUCUUAGCUUUCCGCUCCUCCUGCCCCCCUUGAUCUACAUCCACAUCAGUACUGCUCAACGCUGAACAAUGUGCCCGUUCCCGCGCCACCAUAUAUGACCAUUGUGGACUUGGACAAAUUUAUUUUCAUACUUCUGGAAUAUUACUGUAUUAGGCAAAUUUAUUUGCAUACUUCUUGAGAAUAAAAUAAUUUUAGGUUUUGUCCAUUUCGGCAUCUUUCGUUCUAUGCUCGACAAACGUUAUAUUAGUUCAUGUCCCUCGCGAGUAGCGACGUGCCAAUCAAUCGGGACAAGGCUGGCAGCCUUGAAUUGACCAGAAUGUCGCUAUGCAGAGAAACAAAGAAAAUGUGAAAGUAACAUAUACUAGUAGGCACGACUGGCAGAUCUCAAAUGAUGACUAAAAUUUGACCAUCUUGUCUAGGCUAUAGAGUUAAAUCUGGAAUAAACCCUAUAGUCUUGAGGGGUGGCCUUGGACAUGUCCUAACCCAAUAACCAUGGUUCAAGACCUCAAUAGGUUCACGUGCUAGAUAUAUUAGCAUUUUUUAUUAAUCUAAUCCACGAGUAAACAGAAAAUAUGACAUUCACAGUAUGCAACUCAUACCGAUACCUGAACAUGUGAGCACGUAUAUAGCAUAGAACAGAAACAUUUGUGAACAGAGUAUAUACGGCUAGCACAUGAACGAGCAAGUAGGGGAUGAACAAAUCAUACCUGCCGGUAGGCCAGGCAAGGGCCGCGGCAGCAACAGCAGCCUCGGCUUCGUCUGUGGCCUUCUUCUUGUUGGUGCCGUCACAGCGGUGAAGGGAAAGUAAUCGGAGCAGAGCGCGGAGACUGGGACGGAUCAGGAGCAGUCGGGCCGAGACGCUCCCAAAAAACUUACCGCCCUUCUCCCGGUGCAGAACCUCAAAGGACGGGGUUCCUGAGGCCUGCUCCCCUGUCCGUCCGUGCACGCGGUCGAUGGGAUGUGAUCAUAGGGAGUCAUGGGCCUGAGCUUAGGCCCACGACUGAGUAGGCAAUCGACCAAUGUUUCAACGUCUCAGACAAAUCCGUUAGUGGCUCAUUAAUUAAUCUGAAAUUAACUAACCAUUCCUGACCAGCAAAAAUAAAGCGCAAGCAUAGGUCUGAUUUUGGCUCUCAUUCAUGAAACAGGACACGCGUGGGUGGGCGAGGCGUGGCAAGGCGGGAGGAGGAGGAGGAGGAGCGAGCGUGUACCGCUCCUCUUCUCAAGCUCCCAAUAGCAUGUGGUAGAGCAACCCUUAUAUAGGGGUCUCAACUCUCCUCAACUUGUGGUGGUACUAAACUUCCCACCACCUUCCAUAUACCUACAUGGGCCUUAGAGAUUAACAAGAAUCAUUGUUCAUAUGGGCCCAAAGCCCAUAUAUGAUUCAACAACCCCACCAAAUCACGAGGCACAUUAAGUUGUCCUUUGUUCCAAACAAUGUUUUGAUAUACCCAAAUUUUCAGUGGAGACUGCUAAGUUGAACAUCCACCUAGAGAAAAAGGAUUAGCUUCUUCACAACUGAACAAUGUACUAUGCCUUGAAUUGUUGGUUUGGCAUGCCAAUUGUCAGCUGGUACUUGUCUAUUGAAGGCUAAAUCCCAUGGGUGGAGCUUAUUAGUCAUCUCAUGACCCGUUCACGAGCUUCCCAGAGAUUACCCUAUCUCAUAGACUAUGACCAACAGUCGGGCUCCAAUAAGUUUGUUCCUCCAAAGAUCGCUUCGUAGGAUGGAGUCUUGCUUACACAUGUUUUGGAACACAUUAAGAAUAAUGUCAACCCGCCUUACAAAUUACGAGAGUAUUGCAUCUCCAACAGAGUGGGUUAGUAAGGAUAGUCUCCUUAGUUGAUCACUAGCUUGUUUUUCUAGGUCCUAAUUCACGGGAUCAACAAUCACAUAGCUUGGGUUACCCCCAUGGCAACUCACAUGGGUUUCAUGCCCAUCUCUCCCUCAAUGCAUUUCCUAUCACAAUUCAUGAUAGCCCUGUUGUAAAGGGAUGUGCCAGGUUCUUAGCCGACUGGAUAUAAUCCAAUGAUAUUACUCCGGAGUUUCUUGAAUGCUUGACAUAUUUCAAUCUUCUUAUUCUGUGCUUUGUGGAUUGCAUGUUGUCCUUUAAACUCUUUGUCUUGACAGUUGUUGUCUGAUUGUCACAGUUCAUAAGGAUAGCCAGGACUGGCUUGUCAACCACUCAAAAAUCCAUCAAAAAUUGUUGAAGUCAUUCUACUUCAACACAUGAAGUGUAUAAUGCUGUGAGUUGUGUAUCCAUAGUCGAUCAUAUUAAGAUUGUCUGCUUGCAAGACUUCUAGGAAACAACACCACCAUCAAGUAGGAACACAAAUCCAUUUGUGGCUUUCAUCUCAUCAGUAUUAGAGAUCCAAUUCGCAUCACUAUACCCUUCAAGUACCGUCGGGUAUCCAUUAUAGUGAAGGCCAUGGCUCAUAAUACCUUGCAAAUAGCGCAUAACUCUUUCAGCGACAUGCUAAUGUUCAUCUAUCGGGUUUGAAAAAAUGGCUUAGUUUGCACACAACAAAUGAGAUGCCAGGCCAUGUAGCAGUAUCUAGGUACAUGAGUGAACCUAUCACUUGAGAGUAUCUCAUUGAUCUAAAGUUGUGCCUUUGAACUUCUGAAUCCGCACGCUAGAAUCAUAUGGUGUUGGAGAAGGUUUGCAAUCUGAAUACCAAAAUUGACUUAGAAUCUUCUCAACAUAGUGGGAUUGCAGAAGUGUAAUUCCUAUAGGAAAUAUGCCCUAGCGGCAAUAAUAAAUUGGUUAUUACCAUAUUUCCCGUUCAUGACAAAUGUUUAUUGUUCAUGCUAGAAUUGUAUUGACCAGAAGCUUAAAUAAACAUGUGAAUACAUAAACUGCAUCGUGUCCUUAGUAAGCCUCUACUAGACUAGCUCAUUGAUAAAAUAUGGUUAUGGUUUCCUAACCAUAGACAUGAGUUGUCAUUUGAUAACGGAAUGACAUCAUUAUGAGAAUGAUGUGAUAGACAGACCCAACCGUAAGCUUAGUAUUAGAUUGUUUAGUUUUUGCUACAACUUUCUUCAUGUCAAGUAUCAUUCCUAAGACAUGAGAUCAUGCAACUCCCAGAUACCGGAGGAAUGCCUUGUGUGCUAUGUUGACACCUGAUUUUGGCAUGGUCGAAAACAUAAUUAAGAAGGCCUCAAACAGAAAAGUGCUCAAAGUGAGAAAGUUUCGUAUCGUCAAAAGGGAAACUUUGAUAUUUGGGCCAUAGCCAUCUCGUCUCAUCUCUAAGGCCGAAGUUGUGUUCGAAGUACUGAGAUUUUGUAUCUAAAACACUAUUUGGCUGAUUACGCCCCCAAUAUGGCCUCAUAUGAGAAAACUUUCUACACAAACUGUUUUCGUCUCGUCGAAACGGUCGAUUUUGAUAUAAAAACAUCUUAAUCCGAGGUCGUAUGCAAAAGUUACAGCUAGUACAAGAUGCUGCUGCACUGGAUGGCCGGACACUCCGGGGACAAUCAUCCGGGUUUUGAUUUCUCUGUGGAUGGCCGGACACUCCGGGUAUGUUUGUCCGGGUUUUGAAUUUCGCUGCUGCAGACUUUGGAAAACAGCCGAAGCCCCCCUCAAGAUGGCCUGAGAUCAAAAAACGUUCAACAUGAAAGUUGUUCGCCUCGUCGAAACGGUCAAGAUUGCUUUUGGGCUUGUUUCCAUCCGAAAUCGUUUACUCCCCCAAACAUGGCCUGCAAGGUGCAGCCAGAUUUUACCGAACAGUUUUGAAAGUUCGGACCAAGCAAAUGUGAAUUGGACUAGGGUUUUGGAUGUGAAUUGAAGCCUUUUCCUUGCACGGGAAGUCUAGCCGCCUCUUAUAUACUUAAGAGGUGACGGCCAGUUGAACAACACACAAUCGAACAAAUCAUCUAUCACUUUUUAUCUUUUAUCUUUUCUCCUUAACCCUAGUUCUUCUUCUUCCUCGUUUUUGUCUGUUCUUCUUAUUGUAGGGCGGCGAACCUCGAGGCCCUAGUGGCGAUCAGGUCGACCUAGGGCAGCCCAUAGCCGCCACAUGCCCUGACGGGGUCCCUCCCGGGUGUGUGGGGUUUCGGGUCAUCAAAAGCGCCCGCCAGAUUGCUUGCGUACCGCGCUUCCAGAUGGGUCUCCUUCGACGUGAUCUGCGGUGCAUCACCCUCGACGUUGGAGGUACACGGUGACGUGUUCAUAUGCGAACACACUUUUUGGCGACUCCGCUGGGGACCGAAGCUUUGAACGGUCUCCGGCCCGUUCUUGCUACGAAGAGAUCGUCAUCUAGGGUUUGCAAUCUACAAAGGUAACAUGAAUGCCCAAUUCACUUAUGUAGAUGGAAAUAAUGCAUAUGUUGUUGCUAGAUCGUCUAAUGAGCAUAUUGUAUCGGCUAUCCCUAGUUUUAUCAAUCAUGCAUCUAAUUAUGUGCAACAGCCGAUUCAGAAUAAUCUUCAUGCUUCAACUUCAUAUACUUUUAGCAACAUGCAACAUAUGUAUCCCAACUCCCAUGCAUCGGCAACCCCACAAAUUUAUAUGCCGAUGAACAACAUGAUGAGUUCGGUUAAUCAUGUUGAGACACCCCAUGUAGGAACUUCCAAUAGUAUGCAACAAAGUGUUUCGAAUUUUUAUUCAUCGGCAAAUAACUUGCAGUAUGUUAAUCCAAACGUGCCGGUGGAUAGGGGAAUUGGCCAUGCCACUACUAGUUAUUCGGCCAAUUACCCUCAAACAUCAUAUGCUACACCUCAUGCUACUAAUUUUUUGGCACCAUAUGCAACUGUUGAUGUCCAUAAUUCGGCUCCGCACCUUCAUGGUCAUGGCCGAAUAAGUGAAAUUUUUACAGGAGAUCAAAUGCCUUCACCUACUACCGUGGCAUAUCAUGUUCCCCCAACACAAUUACAGAAUUUCGGCAAUAUCUCAUUGCCGAAAGAGUCUAAAGCAUCGGGGGCAACCAUAUCCAGACUAGGUAGUUGAGAACAAGCUUACAUUCUCUUGGGAUUUGUGCAACUCAAUUCGAAAGGAACUAAUAGAAGGCGGGAAGCCUCAUGAUUUUGCUGCAGUAAAAGCUAGAAUUGUGCAAAUGAUGCAUUCGCCCAGUGUUGUACUAUCCAGUGCACCCCCUAAACAAUUGCAAAAUUUCGGCACCUCAUUGCCGAAAAAGUCUCAAAGUAUUGGGGGGCAAUCUCAUGAGGAGUGGAUGGAAAUUGAGAUGAAAAAGGUUAAAGCUCGCCAAGCUGAGAUGUGGGCUAAAAUUAGACAAGAGCGAGAAGCCUUGCAAAUAUAAAAAGAUAAAAGUAUUGAUUCAGGUAACAAUGAAAAUUCGGUUAUUGAAUAAGCCGAAUCAAAUAUUAUGUGUGCCGAAUCUAUUGAAGAAAAAGAGGGUGCCAAGGUGUUGGGGAGCCAACUGAAAAUGGAACAAAGUAUCAUUCAAAUUACACCACCGUCAUGCUCUCCCAACAUAUUCAAAGAGGUAUGUCUAGCAAGUGAUUUACCUAUUUUCAGAUUUGGUCGCAACUUUAUUGUUGAUGCAUGUAUUAGAAAAAAUCUUAUAAGUAAUUUUGAAAGACCAAUGAUGAAGGGAAAUUUACUUGUUAGCAAUAAAAUGGUUACUGAGCAUAUCGGUCACUACAUUGUACCAUUCAAAGAGACCGAUGGUGACUUAUUAUUGCAGCCAAAGCUUUUCCCAUUGCUUUAUUUAAAGUUCAUAUCUAAUUGGGUAGCUUUGUUGCUUCAUACUUGACUUAUGCAUGGUCUCAAUUGAAACAUGUAUGUUAUAACUAUUUUGAUUUUAGAAAUUUAAAGCCAAGGUUAUUCUCUAUUGAGAAAACCGAUGAUAGUAUAAUUUGUUUUUCAAAGACAUCGGUAAAAGAAUGCGAAAUAAAAUUUAUAGCCGAAUGGGAUGAUACAAAAUCUAAACCAUUCGUUUGCUUAACAACAAAACCGUUCUCAUAGCAAGAUCGGCUAGAAAAUAAAAAAAUACCUUCAAUUCAAACAUGUGUGAUCAAAUCUUUGAUUUCUUGUUGAAAAAUAAUUAUAUUAGAAUUAUUGAUCACCAUGUCAGGCCAUCAAUCCAAGGACGAAUGUAUUGUAGGUUGCAUCAUUCGUUCAAACAUAAUUUUGAGGAUUGCGACAUGUUUCAUCAAAUAGUCAAAUUUGCCAUUGAGAAAGGACGAUUGAGAUUUGUUGAAACACCAAGGGAUGACCAGUCUAUUCCGAUUGAUCCUAAUGGGAAAAAGUUUUUGAAUCAGCUACUUCAAGACGAUUCCUUUAAAGAUGAGAAGGUAAAAACUACAGGUGAUGGGAUCAAGCUUUCAAGUAAAGAAGUUGUUCAAGAGCACAAUGAAAAUAUUCUUGAAGGCCUGAGUUCUAUCGAAGCUACAAUGGAGACGCCAAGGAGUGGGGGGCAACAAGCAAAUCCAAUGAUCGAUGAAAGCAAACCAAAAGAAAAUAAAGGCCGAAAUAAGCGCAAGUGUAAGAGAUCAAAAAUCAUCUUCGCUGAACUAUUGUAUAAAUAUCAAAAGAAGAGUGAAGAGAAGAAUGCUAAUCGGCCAAAUCAUGCAAAUAAACCAAGAUCACCCCCAAGGUGCAAAUAUGAGGAUCGGUAUUGGCAAAGUGAGAAUUUUAAUGCAACAUAUUCAUAUCCUUAUUUUGGGCCGCCAAUGCCAAUGCCGUGGAUGCCUCCCUAUGGUCAUAUAGAUUCAUAUCCAUCAUGGGAUAGGUAUGAUACAAGGGCACAUUAUCCAUCUUAUUUUAGACCAUCUCACCAAUAUUAUGUAGCUCCGAGGAGAUCAACAUUUGGACAAUCUGUCACGCCCAAGAUGUGACCCUAUCCUAAAGGAACUCGAAGGUCCCACCAAGGAUAGAAGCACAUCUUGAAGACGCUUUUGUAAGGUGGAUAUCAUUACAUCAAACCAUUACAUAAUAGUUAGGGAUACAUACAAGAGGCAUACAAUGCCACACGAAUACAACAUCACAAUACAUGAGCACAACAUUCGACUACGGAUGAAACACAAACAGAAACUCAAACGACAUCCACCCUGCUAGCCCAGGCUGCCGACCUGGAACCUAUCCCCUGAUCGAAGAAGAAGCAGAAGAAGAACUCCAAAACAAGUAACAUCGCUCUCGCGUCAUGAUCAUCGCAUAACCUGUACCUGCAACUGUUGUUGUAGUAAUCUGUGAGCCAUGAGGACUUAGCAAUCCCAUUACCAUGGGUAUCAAGACUAGCAAAGCUUAAUGGAGAAAGGAAGGGGUGAAGUGGUGAGGUAGCAGCAACGACUAAGCAUAUAUGGUGGCUAACAUACGCAAAUGAGAGCGAGAAGAGAACCAAACAGAACGGUCGUGAAGCUAGCAAUGAUCAAGAGGUGAUCCUGAACUCCUACUUACGUCAAACAUAACCCAAAACCGUGUUCACUUCCCGAACUCCGCUGAAAAGAGAUCAUCACGGCUACACACGCGGUUGAUGCGUUUUAACUCGAAUCUGGUGUCAAGUUAUCUACAACCAGACAUUAACAAAUUCCCAUCUGCCACAUAACCGCAGGCAUGGCUCUCGAAAGUUUAUACCCUAUAGGGGUGUCCCAACUUAGCCCAUCACAAGCUCUCACGGUCAACGAAGGAUAUUUCUUCUCCCAGGAAGACCCGAUCAGUCUCGGAAUCCCGGUUUACAAGACAUUUCGACAAUGGUAAAACAAGACCAGCAAAGCCGCCCGAUGUGCCGACAAUCCCGAUAGGAGCUACACAUAUCUCGUUCUCAGGGCAACACCGGAUGAGACUAGCUAUGAGUAAAACCAUCCCUCAAGUUUCCCCGAGGUGGCCCCGCAGGCAGCUCGGUUCGAACCAGCACUUAGAGAAGCACUGUCCUGGGGGGGGGCUAAAAUAAAGAUGACCCUCGGGUUGGCUGACCCAAGGGAAAGGUAUAGGUGGUGGUGAGGCAAAUGGUAAAACCAAGGUUGGGCCUUGCUGGAGGAGUUUUAUUCAAGGCAAACUGUCAAGGGGGUCCCAUAAAUCACCCAACCGCGUAAGGAACACAAAAUCCGGGAACAUAACAGCGGUAUGACGGAAACUAGGGCGGCAAGAGUGGAACAAAACACCAGGCAUAAGGCCGAGUCUUCCACCCUUUACCAAGUAUAUAGAUGCAUUAAUUAAAUAAGAGAUAUUGUGAUAACCCAACAAUAAUCUUGUCCACCAUGGAGCAAUCUUCAACUUCACAUGCAACUAACAACGCUAUAAGAGGGGCUGAGCAAAGCGGUAACAUAGCCAAAAAACGGUUUGCCAGGAAGGGUGAAAAGGUUAGAGGCUGACAUGGCAAUUUGGGGAGGCUUGAGGAGCAAAUGAUAGGUAGCACAACAUAGCGAUAAAACGAAGCAACUAGCAUAGCAAUGAUAGUAGUGAGAUCCAAGGUGACGGUCAUCUUGCCUGAAAUCCCGCUAGGAAGAAGAACGAGUCCAUGAAGAAGAUGAAGCCACGUAGACGAACCAAGCGUAGACGAACGAAUCCUCACGAUCGCAAUGAAACGGGAACUAUCGAGAAGAAGCACACAACAUAGUAAACACACCACACAUGAACAAGGCAUGAUGCUCAACCAAGUAUGAUGCAUUGCUACAUGAAGCUACUCAUGACAAGAGAUGAUGAAUACAAGGGCAACACAACAAAGCAAGUUUAAAUGAGGCCGGAAACAACAUAUAACAAUUCUGGUAAGUCCUCAUAUGCAAGUUUCGAAGUUGGUCCAGAUCUGAACAAACAUUAAGUUGAAGUUGUUAAACAGCAAGUUAAAGAGCACCAAGAGGAUUUACACGAAAUUCUAGUCAAGUUACAUAUAAAGUUCAUUUGGUUCGGAGCUACGGCCUCAAAACGGAGCAACGGUUCAACACAUACACUCUAUACAAGUUUAAAGGACAAGCUGUCCAAAACAGCAACUAGGCAUCUAGCAAACAUCAAAACAAUAUGCUACAGCAUCCCAACAUGAAAAUAAAAGGCAUGGGCAUGAAGCAAAGGUAAAUCAUGACAAAACAUGAACACUGAGCUAUCUCUAGAAAACACUAGAAUAUGCUCAAAAGGUCAUGGCAAGAUUGCAAAUAAUAACAGUUUACAGACUUAGCAGAAAUAACAUCAGGUUGCAAUGUUUAGAGCUAUCAAACAACAUGCUAAAGGAACUUAACAUGGCAAAGAAAGGCAUGGCAUGCUAAUAAUAAAGACAAAGAACAACACUCCCUUACUGAACUAAUUCCAAAGGUCAAGAGAAAAGAUGGUAGCAUCCAUGCAAACAUGGCAAAUGAUAUAACAGAUUCAGACAUGGCAUGAACAACAAUAAGUAGGCAUGUUGGUGAGCUUGUACCACUCACCACAGAGCAUUACAUGGCAUUAAAAGGUGACCAACAGUAAGAUGACAUAUUUAUGAAGCUAAACAUGGCAAGAUAAAGUUCAUAGGGUGCAUGGAUCACUAGCAAAGCUCAUGGCAAAACUGAACUUAAAAGUUAAUAGGCUAACAACAACAUUAUUUAGCAAGUUUGGAGCACAAUUACAACAAGCUACAGCAGGCUAUAAAUGCAACCACGGGCAUGGAUGGAUAGAUCAUGACAUGUAUAACAAAACAACCUUAGUGAACAUCUCCAGAUUAUGCAUGGAAUGACUUGUAGCAGCAGGUUUACAUAGCAUCAUGAUAUAGCAGAUUCAGCCUAGCAAAACAACAACAACAAGUACACUACUUCACGAGCUCAAUGCACUCUGUACAAGACUCACAAAAAUACAUGUAUUGCACGACUGUAAAUAUGGCAUGAUGUAGCUCAAAACUCAUGUAGACAUCAAGCUCAUAGGAUGCACACACAGAGUGCAACAAAAAUGACAAAACAUCAAGUUCUAUUAACAGGCAGCAGUUAACAUCAUAUAGCACUCUUGUAACGAUGAUAUGGGCAUCAAGAUGGACUCAAACAAGCAUUGCACAAUGGAAAAAAAUUAAGAGCAUCUCAUAGUCAACAUUUUGAUAUAUUACAUGCACAAAACGGAGCUACAUGCAAGAAGUUAUGACAUGAUGAACAUGGGCACAUAAUGUAGCAAUUUUGGGACUUGGCAGUUUUGUAGAAGAAAAAAAACAUGGGGUGAGCAAAAACAUCUAUAAUGCGCUCAGGGCGAGAGAUAGGGCUGGAUCCGGGGCUCACCUUGCUGGGCCACGGCCCAGGUCGGCGGGGACGAAGUGGGACGGCGCGCUGGGCUGCGAAGCUGGCUGGGCCACGGGGCCCACGGGUCGCUCCUCCUCCCGAUCCCACCGGAUCGAGGGGAAGGCAGGGGGGUUCGGCGCGACACCGACGAGGCGUGGCCGCGCUCCGGCGAGGCCCCAGGGCGUGGGAUGGGCGGAUCCAAAGCAGAGGAGGCCAGAUCCCGCCGGAUCCGUGUCCGGAGCAGGGUGGCAGCAUGGGGCCGACAGCGAGCUCCUCUGGGCUCCUGCUGCAGAGAGCGAGAGGGGGAUUAGGGGAAGAUGGUGAUGGGGAGAGAUGAGAGAUGGCUGGCGGCGCCGUGACCUGGGUCUGGCGGUGGCCUCCGGCGAGAGGGUGACGGGACGACGAGGACGACGGUCGACGGCGGGGUUGGCGGCGCGCAGGCGGAGCUCCUGGGCGGCUACCGUUGCGGGGGCGCGGUCGCGCGGGCUCCCACGGGCUGCAGCGGCGGCGGCGGGCCUAGGACGGGCCUGAUCUGGGCCCUCAGGGCCGCGGGAGGUGGGAGUCUGAGGGGGGAGAGGCGCGGGCGACGUGGCGUAACGCCGUUGGCUGCGGCGGUGACUGGGAGGUGAGGUGGCGCGAGCGGGUUGGCUGGAGGGCAGCGAUGCGGCGGCGCCAAGUGGCUGGCUGUGGCUGGCGGCGGUGGCUCCGAGGUGGGAGGAGGCUAGGGGUAGGGGAAGGCUAGGGUAGCCCAAAUUUGGAAGGAGGGGUCUAUAUAUAGCAAAAAGAGGCUAGGGUUGGGGGGUUUGUGGAUGAUCUCGGGCAUCAGAUCGUGAUCCGACGGUGCGGAACAGAGGGGUGUUUAGGUGGGCUGCAUAUGGACUAGUUUAGUGGCUGUGAAGAGGGUGUGGGCUGCGGGAGAGAAGAGAGAGAGAGAGAGAGGCCCGACGACAGUUUCGGAGACCGAAACGUCCGGCGAAUACACCGACUAUAUUGUGGUUAUAAGUUAACGGUUGGGCUAUCAAACGAGCUCCGAAUGCGACGAAACUUGACAGGCGGUCUACCUACACUAUAAUAAGACUGCACGCCAACUUUCUUCACAUUCCGAGAACAUUUUAAGCCACUUAUAAAUUAAUAUUUCGGAGGUGCCGCGGGCGUGUGCGAGUGUGGCUGAGCUCAGAACGGACAACGGAGAGAACCGGCGGAACCCGAACGGAUGCAAGAUUUGAAAAACAUGCAGAUGAAAUGCAGAUGAUGACAUGGCAAAAUGCAACACACAAGCAAAUGACAUGGCAACGACAGCGAAUAACUGGGAGACACCUGGCGCAUCGAAUCCGGGGCAUUACAACUCUCCUCCACUAACAAGAGAUCUCGUGCCGAGAUCUUAGGACCGAGACGGAAGGGAAAAGGGAUGAGGUGAAACAAGAACUCAAGAGAAGAAGCAAAGAAUCGAGAGCACUCGGGUCGGAAGGGAAAAGGCGAAUAUGACGAGAAUCAAAAGUUCAUGGAAACAAGAUAGACUCUGAAACCACUCCGGUUAGAACGAGAUAAGAAACGAGUAAGAUUGAAAGGAUUUAGGCAACACUCCGGUUGGAACAUGGAGGAAUAGAACACGAGCUUGAGAGGAUGGAAUGAUACUUGACGAAGACAUGACACAAAACCUCCGGAAAGAAUUGAAAGAGUUGAAUGAAAAGAACGGAGAAGAAAAUGACAACUUGUGCCACGAAUGAAAUUGAAAGCAUCUUUAGAAGGAAGGUUUAAACGGAAUUGUUGAGAAAAUCAACAACAAAAAGAAUAUACUUGUUGUGGUCUUAUAGGUAACAUCUCAAGAUCAUAAGGUGAUAACCGACCACAAAUGGAAAUGAUUGGAUAGCUGAGAAGAACGACGAAAUGCAAAACUUCACUUCAAAAGAAUACGGAGAAUUAAUUGCACUUUUAGAUGCAAGAAGGAAGAUACUAGAACUCCUUGAACAAGAAUCUUGAUGAACACUUGAAGAAUGAAUUAAAUACUGACGAACACCAUGAAGAACUCCGGUAAAAUAAAGGAUGAUGAGAUAGAAUCCAAGGAUAGAAAGAAUAAGAUUAAGGCCUUGCGAUGAUUUAGAUAGAGGUUCCGACGAAAUGGCCGAGGAAAUUUGAACUCCGGAAAAGAGAAGAUGAAAACACUUGGAACUAGAAUUUAUUCCACACGAACAAACUCCGAAGGAAGGGAUUAAUCACUUGAUGAAAGAAGAAUAAGAAUUACGUUAUGCUUAUCCUCCACCAAUUAAAUUGAUGAGAAGAAAUGGAUUUGCAUAUUACUUAUUAUUGUUGAAAAGGAUUAAGGGGGGGGGGGUAUAGCACAAAACUUAAGAAAGUCUUCAUGAACCACUGGUAGGAUUCGAAAGAGCGAAUGGAUUAAAAUGAUAAUCACAGAAAAAGAAUCUUGAAUGAACCACCGUAAAAAUUCGAAAAUGACUGAUUAAAGAGUAUGAAUCACCGGGAACAAUUAGAAGAACCAAAUGCUAGAGGGGAUUUAGAUGCAAAAGAACAAAAAGAUCAUGAUCUGAUUAAAGAACACUUGAACGAAGCACCGUGAUAAUUCGAUAACGGUAGCUGAAAUGUGAGGACGAAGAAUUCUUCUGGAAUGAUGGCCUCUGGUGAAAAGAAAUGGAAAAAACAACUCCUGAUAUACUCCGGAUGGGUAAGGAAAGAAUAUCUGACAAAUGGAAUAAUUUGAGACGAUAGCAUGAAACUAGAACCGUGAGUCUUCGAGAGAACGGGCAAGAUUUAGAGGAAAAACUCUUCUUCGAUCUUCAAAUGACGACGAGAAACACCACCAAAAUUUGUUAAGGCACUCCGGGGGAACGAAAAAGCGAAGAGGUUGAGGCAACAAUGAAAAUGAUUUGAAAUUGAUCUUGGGAAAGAUCUGACUGAUGAAAUCCAUUCUUAUGUCACCCUUUGAAAAGAAUUUGAGAAUAACUCCGAGAGAAUUAGAAGAGCCAGGUAAGAUCCUAGGAAAAGACCUAUGGGUUAGGGCCCACUGAAGAGAAAAACACCGUUGGAAAGGGAUGUUGAACAGAUAGAUGAUGCACCAGAACAAUUGAAAUAUUUGAAUGAGGUGGCAACCUCGACUUAAUUAGAACACACACGAAUCUCCUGAGAUGUCUUCCGAACUCCGGAAUGAUUGAAUGGCGAGAGGCAAACGAGCAAGGAGAACACUUGAUCCAAGGAAAAGAAUAUGAUCACCCCGAAAAACUUGAAUUGAAUCCACCAGGAAAGAAAGAGUUGAAGAAUGUCAAACGAGACGAGAAUUCACCGGUUGAGAUAAUUUACGAAAGACUGAAGAGGUUCCGCACGAAUGAAAUUGAUGGUCGAAAGAGACUCAAACUCCGGAAAGAAGAGGGUGGGAGGGCGGGAAAAAACAAAGGGCGACUUGGAAGGGGAAAACCGAUGAAUAACUUGAAGAGUAAACACCGGUUGAAAGAAAGCAAUGGCUUCGCACGAGUAGGAUGGAUACUCGAUUACGGACUCCAGUUCCGAGAAGAAAAGGGAUGGGUGGGUGGGAUAAGAAGACAACUGAGGAUUGAACUCAAAUAUGAAGAGGCUCGAGUCAACUUGACAAGAAAUGCACUGGAUGAAAAGAGCUGAGAACCAACGAACGGAAAACCAACUGCGUGAACCUAAAGAAAAAUUUGAAGGGGAAGAGAAGUAAUUCAAAACACCUACGUCAAGAUUCCUCACCAGAGCGACGAAGGGGCUGAGGAGUAAAAAUAAUUCCUACUCUUCGAUAUAUCUAGACUCCAAAAUAGUUUUCUUCUAGACUCAACAACGGCCAAGCUACACGAUCAAACAAGGGGGCUCCUAUGGUCGAUCGAGGCUCUGAUACCAACUUGUCACGUCCAAGAUGUGACCCUAUCAUAAAGGAACUCGAAGGUCCCACCAAGGAUAGAAGCGCAUCUUGAAGAUGCUUUUGCAAGGUGGAUAUCAUUACAUCAAACCAUUACAUAAUAGUUGGGGAUACAUACAAGAGGCAUACAAUGCCACACGAAUACAACAUCACAAUACAUGAGCACAACAUCCGACCAAACGAAUGAGACACAAAUAGAAACUCAAACGACAUCCACCCUGCUAGCCCAGGCUGCCGAACUGGAACCUAUCCCCUGAUCAAAGAAGAAGCAGAAGAAGAACUCCAAAACAAGUAACAUCGCUCUCGCGUCAUGAUCAUCGCAUAACCUGUACCUGCAACUGUCGUUGUAGUAAUCCGUGAGCCACGAGGACUCAACAAUCCCAUUACCAUGGGUAUUAAGACUAGCAAAGCUUAAUGGAGAAAGGAAGGGGUGAAGUGGUGAGGUAGCAGCAGCGACUAAGCAUAUAUGGUGGCUAACAUACACAAAUGAGAGCGAGAAGAGAAGCAAACAAAACGGUCGUAAAGCUAGCAAUGAUCAAGAGGUGAUCCUGAACUCCUACUUACAUCAAACAUAACCCAAAACCGUGUUCACUUCCUAGACUCCACCGAAAAGAGACCAUCAUGGCUACACAUGCGGUUGAUGCGUUUUAAUUCGAAUCUGGUGUCAAGUUAUCUACAACCGGACAUUAACAAAUUCCCAUCUGCCACAUAACCGCGGGCACGGCUCUCGAAAGUUUAUACCCUGCAGGGGUGUCCCAACUUAGCCCAUCACAAGCUCUCACGGUCAACGAAGGAUAUUCCUUCUCCCAGGAAGACCCGAUCAGUCUCAGAAUCCCGGUUUACAAGACAUUUCGACAAUGGUAAAACAAGACCAGUAAAGCCGUUCGAUGUGUCAACAAUCCCGAUAGGAGCUGCACAUAUCUCGUUCUCAGGGCAACACCGGAUGAGACUAGCUAUGAGUAAAACCAGCCCUCAAGUUUCCCCGAGGUGGCCCCGCAGGCAGCUCGGUUUGAACCAGCACUUAAAGAAGCACUGGCCCGGGGGGCUAAAAUAAAGAUGACCCUCGGGUUGGCCGACCCAAGGGAAAGGUAUAGGUGGUGGUGAGGCAAAUGGUAAAACCAAGGUUGGGCCUUGCUGGAGGAGUUUUAUUCAAAGCAAACUGUCAAGGGGGUCCCAUAAAUCACCCAAUCGCGUAAGGAACGCAAAAUCCGGGAACAUAACACCGGUAUGACGGAAACUAGGGCGGCAAGAGUGGAACAAAACACCAUGCAUAAGGCCGAGUCUUCCACCCUUUACCAAGUAUAUAGAUGCAUUAAUUAAAUAAGAGAUAUAGUGAUAACCCAACAAUAAUCCUAUCCACCAUGGAGCAAUCUUCAACUUCACCUGCAACUAACAACGCUAUAAGAGGGGCUGAGCAAAGUGGUAACAAAGCCAAACAACAGUUUGCUAGGAAGGGUGAAAAGGUUAGAGGCUGACAUGGCAAUUUGGGGAGGCUUGAGGAGCAAAUGAUAGGUAGCACAGCAUAGCGAUAGAACGAAGCAACUAGCAUAGCAAUGAUAGUAGUGAGAUCCAAGGUGACGGUCAUCUUCCCUGAAAUCCCACUAGGAAGAAGAACGAGUCCAUGAAGAAGAUGAAGCCACAUAGAUGAACCAAGUGUAGACGAACGAAUCCUCACGAUCGCAACGAAACGGGAACUAUCGAGAAGAAACACACAACAUAGUAAACACACCACACAUGAACAAGGCAAGAUGCUCAACCAAGUAUGAUGCAUGACAAGGCUACAUGAAGCUACUCAUGACAAGAGAUGAUGCAUACAAGGGCAACACAACAAAGCAAGUUUAAAUGAGGCCGGAAACAACAUAUAACAAUUCUGGCAAGUCCUCAUAUGCAAGUUUUGAAAUCGGUCCAGAUCUGAACAAACAUUAAGUUGAAGUUGUUAAACAGCAAGUUAAAGAGCACCAAGAGGAUCUACACGAAAUUCUAGUCAAGUUACAUAUAAAGUUCAUUUGGUUCGGAGCUACGGCCUAGAAGAUAUGAGCAAAACAAGUUAAACAUGGCAUUGAUGUAAAAUACAGUCAAACAUCAAGAAAACACUCUUAAAACAAGUAUGCAACAUGAUAAUAUUAAACUUCAUGCAAAAGCAAGCAAGUUUCAUAUAGAGCACACUCAAAACGGAGCAACGGUUCAACACAUACACUCUAUACAAGUUUAAAGGACAAGCUGUCCAAAACAGCAAUAGGCAUCUAGCAAGCAUCAAAACAAUAUGCUAUAGCAUCCCAACGUGAAAAUAAAAGGCAUGGACAUGAAGUACAGGUAAAGCAUGACAAAACAUGAACACUGAGCUAUCUCCAUAAAACACUAGAACAUGCUCAAAAGGUCAUGGCAAGAUUGCAAAUAAUAACUGUUUACAGACUUAGCAGAAAUAACAUCAGGUUGCAAUGUUUAGAGCUAUCAAACAACAUGCUACAUGAACUUAACAUGGCAAAGAAAGGCAUGGCAUGCUAAUACUAAGACAAAGAACAAAACUCCCUUACUGAACUAAUUCCAAAGAUCAACCAAAAAGAUGGUAGCAUACAUGCAAAGAUGGUAAAUGAUAUGACAGAUUCAGACAUGGCAUGAACAACAAUAAGUAGGCAUGUCGGUGAGCUUGUACCACUCACCAUAGAGCAUUACAUGGCAUGACAAGGUGACCAACAAUAAUAUCGCAUAUUUAUGAAGCUAAACAUGGCAAGAGCAAGUUCAUAGGGUGCAUGGAUCACUAGCAAAGCUCAUGGCAAAACUGAACUUAAAGUUAACAGGCUGACAUCAACAUUAUUUAGCAACUUUGGAGCACGAUUACAACAAGACACAUUAGGCUAUAAAUGCAACCAGGGGCAUGGAUGGAUAUAUCAUGACAUGUAUAACAAAACAUCCUCAGUAAACAUCUCCAGAUUAUGCAUGGAAUGACUUGUAGCAGCAGGUUUACAUAGCAUCAUGAUAUAGUAGAUUCAGCCUAGCAAAACAGCAACAACAAGUACACUACUUCACGAGCUCGAUGCACUCUGUACAGGACUCACAAAAAUACAUGUAUUGCACGACUGUAAAGAUGGCAUGAUGUAGCUCAAAAGUCAUGUAGACAUCAAGCUCAUAGGAUGCACACACAAAAUGCAACAAAAAUGACAACAUCAAGUUCUGUUAACAGGCAGCAGUUAACAUCAUAUAGCACUCUUGCAACGACGAUAAGGGCAUCAAUAUGGACUCAAACAAGCAUGGCAUCAAAAUGAAGAGCAUCUCACAAUGAACAUUAUGAUAUAUUACACGCACAAAACAGAGCUACAUGCAAGAAGUUAUGACAUGAUGAACAUGGGCACAUAAUGUAGCAAUUUUGGGACUUAGCAGUUUUGUAGAAGAAAAAAAACAUGGGGUGAGCGAAAGCAUCUAUAAUGCGCUCAGGGCGAGAGAUAGGGCUGGAUCCGAGGCUCACCUUACUGGGCCACGACCCAGGUCGGCGGGGACAAAGCGGGCCGGCGCGCUGGGCUGCGGAGCUGGCUGGGCCGCGGGGCCCACGGGUCGCUCCUCCUCCCGAUCCCACCGGAUCGAGGAAAAGGCAGGGGGGUUCAGCGCGACGCCGACGAGGCGUGGCGGCGCUCCGGCGAGGCCCCAUGGCGUGGGACGUGCGGAUCCGGAGCGGAUGAGGCCAGAUCCCGCCGGAUCCGUGUCCGGAGCAGGGCGGCAGCACGGAGGCGAGGCAGCAUGGGGUCGGCGAUGAGCUCCUCUGGGCGGCGGUGCUCACCUUUGGCAGAGAGCGAGAGGAGGAUUAGGGGAAGAAGGCGACGGGGAGAGAGGAGAGAUGGCUGGAGACGCCGUGACCUGUGUCCGGUGGUGGCCUCCGACGAGAGGGUGACGGGGCGACGAGGACGACGGCCGGCGGCGGGGUUGGCAGCAUGCAGGCGGAGCUCCUGGGCGGCUACUAUUGUGAGGGCGCGGUCGCACGGGCUCCCGCGGGCUGCAGCGGCGGCAGCGGGCCUUGGGUGGGCCCGAUCUGGGCCCUCAGGGCUGCGGGAGGUGGGAGUCUGAGGGGGGAGAGGCGCGGGCGAUGUGGCGUAAUGCCGUUGGCUGCGGCGGCGGCUGGGAGGUGAGGUGGCGCGAGCUGGUUGGCUGGAGGGCGGCUAAGCGGCGGCGCCAAGUGGCUGGCUGCGGCUGGCGGCGGUGGCUCCGAGGUGGGAGGAGGCUAGGGGUAGGGGAAGGCUAGGGUAGCCCAAAUUUGGAAGGAGGGGUCUAUAUAUAGCAAAAAGAGGCUAGGGUUGGGGGGUUUGUGGAUGAUCUCGGGCAUCGGAUCGUGAUCCGACGGUCCGGUACGGAGGGGUGUUUAGGUGGGCUGCAUAUGGACUAGUGUAGUGGCUGUGAAGAGGGUGUGGGCUGCGGGAGAGAAGAAAGAGAGAGAGAGAGGCCCGACGGCAGUUUCAGAGACCGAAACAUCCGGCGAAUACACCGACUAUAUUGCGGUUAUAAGUUAACGGUUGGGCUAUCAAACAAGCUCCGAAUGCGACGAAACUUGACAGGCGGUCUACCUACACUAUAAUAAGACCGCACGCCAACUUUCUUCCCAUUCCGAGAAUAUUUUUAAGCCACUUAUAAAUUAAUAUUUCGGAGGUGCCGCGGGCGCGUGCGAGUGUGGUUGAGCUCAGAACGGACAACAGAGAGAACCGGCGGAACCCGAACAGAUGCAAGAUUUAAAAAACAUGUAGAUGAAAUGCAGAUGAUGGCAUGGCAAAAUGCAACACGCAAGCAAAUGACAUGGCAACGACGGCGAAUAACUGGGAGACACCUGGCGCAUCGAAUCUGGGGCGUUACACAAUCACAUGUUAGAGACCGUUUCAAUCAUAAGGAAUCGGUCCAGAGCUCAAGGAAGAAGAAAGAGGUGGUCAAGCAAGUUCACCGUGUUAAAAGAGAUGGUCAUAAGAGUGCAACUUCAGAUUUGAUCUCAAAUGAAAAAGAGCCAAUUAAAGUGUUGACAUUGUCUACUAAAGGCAAUGAGACAAAGCAACCAAUUAUUGAGAGUCAAAGUGCCAAAUCUGAAGAAAAGAAGUUGAGAGUGCACAAGGCCAAAAAGGAAUUGCCAUUGGUCAAAACGGAAUCACAACCGAGAUGCCCGCUCGGCUUAUCGUAUUGGCAAAAGAAGAAAUUACGAAAAAUUAGUGCACAAGAACUUGAAGAAAGGAACAUGGCAUGGGUUCCCAAAGGAAGUGCUCAAAAUAAGAAUUAUGUGCAAGCUUCCGUUACAAUAAGUGCGGCAAAGGUGAAGAAGGAAAAGAGUGAAAACUAUGAAGGACCAAGCCAAAGGUUUCAACAUCUUUGGUCUACACAUUAGCCAUAUUCUUCAACUAUGCCAUUAACGCCUAUGCCAUGGAAUUCAUCAUCAGGUAUGAUUGGUAAACCUCAAUGGGCUUAUUUUAAUCCAUGGAUGCAAUAUAAUUUCUUACGUCAUGAAAGGGUAUUACCAAAUCACUAUACAUUUGGUUAGUUACAUUAUUGUUGCUAAUACAAAGGGGCCGAAAUAUUUUAUUACUAUUUCAUUUGUUUAUUUCGGCUAUACAUACUUUGGUGGGUGAAUUCUACAUGGACCUGUGGUAAUGGCCGAUAUUCAUCUAUCGCCUUAAGAAUAUAUCUAAGAAUGGCCGGUGUGGUAUUCUAACAUUGAGAUAAGUGCUUGCAUAGAAAUCUGUCAAGUUGUUGCCAUUGAAGAUAUUAUGCAUAGACCAAUCCAAAAAAACUACAAAGUGGACUUACAUUUUGAUUUUGGUGUGCUUUGGCUUAUUAGUUUUCAGAAUUUAUGUAAAGCCAAAUCAUGGUUGAUUUUGUUAUUGAGCAUCAUAUUUACAUCAUGCAUAAUACUGAUGUUCGCUUUAUCUCUCUAGUACCAUGGUGAUUAUAUAUUGAUGAUUAAAUUUGUAGCAAUGGCCAAGGUCUUGGUGUUGUUUACAUAUCUCCUUAUGGUGCUAUUCUAUGAAGCCUCAUACCGCUUAAACUAUUUAUGCACAAAUGAUCAAAGCCGAAUAUGCAAUGUUAUUCGGUUUGGAGCUUUUUGGUGCCAUAGGUACUAAUCACAUUGAGGCUUUCAGUGAUUCGUUAUGAGUAGUACAACAAAUAUCCAAGGGUUAUCAAUGUUUUGACGAAUCACUUAUAGUUUACCUUGAGGUAUGUCUAGAUAUAUAAUUUACCUUGGGUUGCUUUAGUAUUGUUCAUAUAUUUAGACAUGAAAAUUCAGAAGAGUUGGCCCAACAAGCAUCUGGCUACUAUGUUAAUCAUGGUGUAUUGCAUUUCUCUCAAUAGCCGAUGCUUAGUUUCGUCAACAUAGGUGAGGCCGAACCAAAGUCCAUAACUUCGUCCACUAAUGAAAUUAAUAUGCAGGUGGAAGUAAGGAUUGGAGGAAGUUCAUUCUUGAUUAUCUGCAAAAUCCUAGUGAAAGGGGUGAAAAAGUUCGGAGGAUGGUUUUGAUCUAUGGAACCUUAUCACCGGAUUGUUAUAGAAGCUGAGAAGUUUUCACCCAAGUUUGCAUCAAGAGGUUCAAACAAGCAAUGGCCGAUAUAUACUUAUCAUCCUAAGAACAUGCAAAAUGGCCGAUGGAGAGUUGACAUCGUCCUUAGAACAAGCUAUGCAGAAGUUAUUUUUUGGCACACAAGUUUUUGCCGAAAAAUAGGGGGGCAUGUGUUGACACCUGAUUUUGGCAUGGUCGAAAACAUAAUUAAGAAGGCCUCAAACAGAAAAGUGCUCAAAGUGAGAAAGUUCCAUAUCUUCAAAAGGAGAAACUUUGAUAUUUGGUUCAUGGCCAUCUCGUCUCAUCUCUAAGGCCGAAGUUGUGUGUGAAGUACUGAGAUUUUGUAUCCAGAACACUAUUUGGCUGAUUACUCCCCCAAUAUGGCCUCAUAUGAGAAAACUUUCUAGACGAACUGUUUUCGUCUCGUCGAAACGGUCGAUUCUGAUAUAAAAGACAUCUUAAUCCGAUGUUGUAUGCAAAAGUUACAACUAGUACAAGAUGCUACUGCACUGGAUGGCCGGACACUCCGGGGACAACCAUCCGGGUUUUGAUUUUCUAUGUGGAUGGCCGAACACUCCGGGUAUGUUCGUCCGGGUUUUGAAUUUCGCUCCUGCAAACUUCGGAAAACAGCCGAAACCCCCCUCAAGAUGGCCUGAGAUCAAAAACGUUCAACAUGAAAGUUGUUUGCCUCGUUGAAACAGUCAAGAUUGCUUUUGGGCUCGUUUCCAUCCGAGGUCGUUUACUCCCCCAAACAUGGCCCGCAAGGUGCAGCCAGAUUUUACCGAACAGUUUUGGAAAGUUCGGACCAAGCAAAUCCGAAUUGGACUAGGGUUUUGGACAUGAAUUGAAGCCUUUUCCUUGCACGAGAAGUCCAACCGCCUCUUAUAUACUUAAGGGGCGACGACUGGUUGAAUAACACACAAUCGAACAAAUCAUCUACCACUUUUUAUCUUUUAUCUUUUCUCCUUAACCCUAGUUCUUCUUCUUCCUCGUUCUUCGUCUGUUCUUCUUGUUGCAGGGCGGCGAACCUCAAGGACCUAGUGGCGAUCAGGUCGACCUAGGGCAGCCCAUAGCCACCGCACGCCCUGACGGGGUCCCUCCCGGGUGUGUGGGGUUUCGGGUCAUCAAAAGCGCCCGCUGGAUUGCUUGCUUACCGCACUUCCAAACGGGUCUCAUUCGAAGUGAGCUGCGGUGCAUCACCCUCGAUGUUGGAGGUACACGGUGACGUGUUCAUGUGCGAACAUGCUAUCAGACGUCACUUCAUAACUGGGUGAUCAUAAAGGUGCUCUAUAGGUACCUCUGAAGGUGUCUAUUGGCUUGGCAUGAAUCGAGUCUGGGAUUUGUCACUCCGUAUGACGGAAAUAUAUCUCUGGGCCCUCUCGGUAAUACAACAUCGUAAAGAUCUUGCAAGCAAUGUGGCUAAUGAGUUCUCACGGAUCUUUUAUUACGGAACGAGUAAACAAACUUGUCGGUAACGAGAUUGAACUAGGUAUGGAGAUACCGAUGAUCGAAUCUCGGACAAGUAACAUAUCACUGGACAAAGGGAAUUGCAUACAGGAUUAACCGAGUCCUCGACAUCGUGGUUCAAUGUAACGCCCCGGAUUCGAUGCACCAGGUGUCUGCCAGUUAUUCGUCAUCGUUGCCAUGUCAUUUGUUUGCGUGUUGCAUUUUAUCAUGUCAUCAUGUGCAUCUCAUUUUGCAUACGUGUUCGUCUCAUGCAUCCGAGCAUUUUCCCCGUUGUCCGUUUUGCAAUCCGGCACUCCUAUGUCCUCCGGCGUUCCCCUUUUUGUCUCCUAUUGUGAGCGGGUGUUAAACUUUCUCGGAAUGGACCGAGGUUUGCCAAGCGGCCUUGGUAUAGCACCGGUAGACCGCCUGUCAAGUUUCGUGCCAUUUGGAGGUUGUUUGAUACUCCAACGGUUAACCGGGUAACCGCAAAAGCCUCUGUUGUCUUGCAGCCCAACACCCCUUCAAAGUGGCCCAAAACACAUCCUAACCCCCUCCAUACUCUUGGUCGUUCUAUCACGAUCGUGUGGGCGAAAACCGCUCCUCAUUUGGACUCUCCUAGCUCCCAGAAUCUAUAUAAUAGCCCCUCCCCCGAAAUUCGCGGAUCAAUUCCACCCCAAACCCUAAAAUUCCCCUCCGCGCCGUGCCGGACAUGUCCGUCCGCGCCGGACAAAGCCCGCGCCGCCGCCUCCGGCCAACCGGCGUCCGCCAUGUGUUGCGCCUCCGUCGCCCGUGCCGUCGGCCCGCCUGGNNNNNNNNNNNNNNNNNNNNNNNNNNNNNNNNNNNNNNNNNNNNNNNNNNNNNNNNNNNNNNNNNNNNNNNNNNNNNNNNNNNNNNNNNNNNNNNNNNNNNNNNNNNNNNNNNNNNNNNNNNNNNNNNNNNNNNNNNNNNNNNNNNNNNNNNNNNNNNNNNNNNNNNNNNNNNNNNNNNNNNNNNNNNNNNNNNNNNNNNNNNNNNNNNNNNNNNNNNNNNNNNNNNNNNNNNNNNNNNNNNNNNNNNNNNNNNNNNNNNNNNNNNNNNNNNNNNNNNNNNNNNNNNNNNNNNNNNNNNNNNNNNNNNNNNNNNNNNNNNNNNNNNNNNNNNNNNNNNNNCGCCGCCGCGCGUCCCCGGCGACCGGCGCCGCCCCGCGCCCCGGAUUCGCCCAGACCUGCCCGUCUCCGGCCUUCUCCUUCCUCUCCGGCAUCGACUCCGGCGAAGCUCCGGCCAUCUUCGAAAACCGUGCCAGAUCCAGAUCCACGAGGUUGACUUUGAAAUUACUCUAAGUCCCCGUAAUUUUGCAUAUUCUGGUGCCCCUUUGACCUGCCAUAACUUGCUGCAUACUGCUCCGUUUCAUGCGUGUAAUAUGUCAAAAUGUUCAUUGAGAGAUGCUCUACAUUUCAUUCCAUUGCAUCAUGUUCAUUUGAGCUCAUCUUGAUGCCUGAAUCAUCGUUGCAAGAGUGCUAAGUGAUAUUAAUCUGCUGAAACUGUUAUAACUUGCUCUUUUGUCAUUUUUGCCAUGUUUGAUGUGUGCAUCAUAUGAGGUUGAUGUCUACAUGCAUUUUGAUCUAUGCCAUGCCAUCUUUACAGGAGUGCCAUCCAUGUAUUUUUGUGAGUUGUGUAGUGAGUGCAUCAAGAUUGUUAAGUAGGGUACUUGCUGUUACUGUUUUGCUAGGCUGAAUCUGUUAUUUCGUGAUGCUAUUUAAACCUGCUGCUACAAGUCAUUCUAUGCAUAAUCUGGAGAUGUUCACUAAGGGUGUUUUGUUAUACAUGUUAUGCUAUAUCCAUUCAUGCCCCUGGUUGCAUUUAUAGCUUGCUGUAGGUUGUUGUAAUCUUGCUCCAAAGUUGCUAAAUAAUGUUGCUGUCAACCUGUUAACAUUAAGUUCAAUGUUGCCAUGUUUGUUGUUAGUGAUCCAUGUACCCUAUGACCUUGCUCUUGACAUGCUUAGCUUCACAAACAUGUCUUCUUACUGUUGGUUGCCUUGCCAUGCCAUGUGUUGCUAUGUGAUGAGUGGUUCAAGCUCACCAACAUUCCUACUUAUUGUUGUUCCUGCCAUGUAUGAAUCUGUCAUAUCACUUACUAUGUUUACAUGGGUGCCAUCAUAUUUUCUGUGCCCUUUUGGCUCAUGGUCAGUAAAGGACUUUUGUUAUAUGAAAUUAUUAGAUUCAUGCCAUGCCUUUGUUUGCCAUGAUAUGUUCCUGUAACAUGUUGUUUGAUAGCUCUAAACAUUGCAACCUGAUGUUAUUUUCUGAUAAGUCUGAAACUGUUAUUAUUUGCAAUCUUGCCAUGUGUUUUGAGCAUGUUCUAGUGAUUUCUGGAGUUAGCUCAGUGUUCAUGUUUUGUUAUGCUUUACCUGUACAUCAUGCCCAUGCCUUUUGUUCUCAUGUUGGGGUGCUAUAUCAUGUUGUUUUGAUGUUUGCAAUAUGCCUAGUUGCUGUUUUAGACAAAUUGUUGUUAUAUCAUGUUUGGAGUGUAUGUGUUGAACCGUUGCUCCGUUUUGAGUGUGCUCUAUAUGAAACUUGCCUAGUUUUGCAUGUAGUUUCAUAUUAUCAUGUUGCAUCCAUGUUUUGAGGUUUUUGCUUGAGGUUUGUUUGCAUUUUGCAUCAAUGCCAUGUUUAACUUGUUUUGCUCAUAUCUUCUAGGCCGUAGCUCCGAAUCUAAUGAACUUCAUACUUAACUUGACUAGAAUCUCGUGUAGAUCCUCUUGGUGCUCUUUAACUUGUUGUUUAACAACUUGAAUAUAAGGUUUAAUCAGAUCUGGACCAAUUUCGAAAUUUGCAUAUGAGGACUUACCGGAAUUGUUAUAUGUUGUUUCCGGCCUCAUUUGACUUUGUUUUGAUGUGUUGCUCUUGUUUGCAUCGUCUCUUGCCAUGAGUAGCUUCAUGUAGCUUUGUCAUGCAUCAUGCUUGUUGAGCAUCACGCCUUGUUCAUGUGUGGUGUGUUUACCAUGUUGUGUGCUUCUUCUCGAUAGUUUCCGUUUCGUUGCGAUCGUGAGGAUUCGUUCGUCUACGCUUGGUUCGUGUGCGUGGCUUUUUCUUCUUCAUGGACUCGUUCUUCUUCCUAGCGGGAUUUCAGGCAAGAUGACCGCUACCCUGGAUCUCACUACUAUCAUUGCUAUACUAGUUGCUUCGUUCUAUCGCUAUGCUGCAUUACCUAUCUCUUGUUCCUCAAGUCUCCCAAUUUGCCAUGUCAGCCUCUAACCUUUUUCACCCUUCCUAGCAAAUCGUUGAUUGGCUUUGAUACCGUUUUGCUGAGCCCCUCUUAUAGCGUUGUUAGUUGCAGGUGAAGUUGAAGAUUGAUCCAUGGUGGACAGGAUUUUGUUGGGAUAUCACAAUAUCUCUUAUUUUAAUUAAUGCAUCUAUAUACUUGGUAAAGGGUGGAAGACUCGGCCUUAUGCCUGGUGUUUUGUUCCACUCUUGCCGCCCUAGUUUCCACCAUGCCGGUGUUAUGUUCCCGGAUUUUGCGUUCCUUACGCGGUUGGGUGAUUUAUGGGACCCCCUUGAUGGUUCGCUUUGAAUAAAAGUCCUCCAGCAAGGCCCAACCUUGGUUUUACCAUUUGCCUCACCACCACCUACUUUUCCCUUGGGAGUCGCUCUCUCGAGGGUCAUCUUUAUUUUAGCCCCCCCAGGCCAGUGCUUGUCUAAGUGUUGGUCUGAACUAAGCUGCCUGCGGGGCCACCUCGGGGCAACUUGAGGGUUGGUUUUACUCGUAGCUAGUCUCAUCCGGUGUUGCCCUGAGAAUGAGAUAUGUGCAGCUCCUAUCGGGAUUGUCGGCGCAUCAGGCGGCUUUGCUGGUCUUGUUUUACCAUUGUCGAAAUGUCUUGUAAAUCGGGAUUCCGAGUCUGAUCGGGUCUUCCUGGGAGAAGGUAUAUCCUUCGUUGAUCGCGAGGGCUUAUCAUGGGCUAAGUUGGGACACCCCUGCAGGGUUUAAACUUUCGAAAGCCGUGCCCGCGGUUAUGUGGUAGAUGGGAAUUUGUUAAUGUCCGGUUGUAGAUAACUUGACACCAGAUCCGAAUUAAAACGCAUCAACUGCAUGUGUAGCCGUGAUGGUCUCUUUUCGGCGGAGUCCGGGAAGUGAACACGGUUUUGGGUUAUGUUUGACGUAAUUAGGAGUUCAGGAUCACCUCUUGACCAUUUCUAGUUUCACGACCGUUCCUUUGCUUCUCUUCUCGCUCUCAUUUGCGUAUGUUAGCCACCAUACAUGCUUAGUCGCUGCUGCAACCUCACCACUUUACCCCUUCCUUUCCCAUUAAGCUUCGCUAGUUUUGAUACCCAUGGUAAUGGGAUUUCUGAGUCCUCGUGGCUCACAGAUUACUACUACAAUAGUUGCAGGUACAGGUUUUACGAUGAUCAUGACGCGAGAGCGAUGUUUGCUUGUUUUGGAGUUCUUCUUCUGCUUCUUCUUUGAUCGGGGAUAGGUUCCAGGUCGGCAGCCUGGGCUAGCAGGGUGGAUGUCGUUUGAGUUUCUGUUUGUGUUUCAUCCUAGUCGGAUGUUGUUCUCAUAUAUUGAGAUGUUGUAUUCGCGUGGCAUUGAAUGCAUUUUUGUAUGUAUCCCCAUCUAUUAUGUAAUGUUGAUGUAAUGAUAUCCACCUUACAAAAGCGUUUCAAUAUGCGGGUCUAUCCUUGGUGGGACCUUCGAGUUCCUUUUGGAUAGGGUCGCAUAUUGGGCGUGACAUUCAAUCAAUAAAAGAUCUUCGUGGAAUAUGUAGGAACCAAUAUGGGCAUCCAUGUCCCGCUAUUGGUUAUUUACCGAAGAGGUGUCUUGGUCAUGUCUACAUGAUUCUCGAACCCAUUGGGUCCGCAUGCUUAAUGUCCGAUGACGCUAGAGUAGUAUUGGGAUAUGUGCAUUGGUAACCGAAUGUUGUUAGGAGUCCCGGAUGAGAUCCCGAAUGUCACGAGGAGCUCUGAAAUGGUCCAGAGGUAAUGACUUAUAUAUGGGAAGUCCCAUUUUGGUUGCAUCAAAGUUUCGGGCAUUAUCAGCAGUGUACGGGAGUGUCGAAAGGGGUCCAGGGGUCUACAGGGUGGGGAGGGGGGUCCACCUGCCCCGAGGGCCCACAUGGGCUGUAAGGGGUGUGCCUUGGCCUAUAAGGGACAAGGGAACAAGCCCCAAGAGUCCCAUGCACUAAGAGGGGAGAAGGAGGAAGAGUCCUAAGGGGGGAAGGCACCCCCUAGGUGCCUUCGGCAGGGAAGAAACCUCCCUAGGCCCACACCCCUCCUUGGGGAGGGCACCCCGGCCCUCCCCCUUGCCUCCUAUAUAUAGUGGGGGAGAGGGAGGGGCUGAACACACCAAUUCCCACGCCCUGGCGGCAACCCUACCUCUCCCAUAACUUUGUUUUUUCCUCAGAUUGGUUCCGACAGCGUUUGGCGAAGCCCUGCCGGCACUGCACCACCACCAUAUCCACCACGCCAUCGUGUUGGUUGAGAUCCCAUCUAUUCCCCCCUUAUCUUGCUGGAUCAAGGAAGAGGAGAGAUCGUGGAGCCGCAGGAAUGCUGAACGCGGAGGUGCCUUCCGUUCGACGCUAGAUCGGAUUAGACCAUGAUCGGAUCAUGAAGAGUAUGACUACAUCAACUGCGUUAUAUACGCUUCCACUUUUGGUAUACAAGGGUAUGUAGACACACUCUCCUCUCUUGCUAUGCAUCUCCUAGAUUAGAUCUUGAGUGUUCAUAGGAUAUUUUUUGAUUUUCAUGCUUCGUUCCCCAUCCGUGGCAUCAUGAGCUAGGUCUAUGCGUAGAUGUAUAUGCACGAGUAGACCACAAAGAAGUUGUGGGCAUUGAUGUUCAAAUUGCUUACCUCCGUUGUCUUAUUUGGAUUCGGCAGUAUUGUGGGAUGAAGUGACUCCGACCAACGUUACAUGUCCUGGCACAUGAGACCGGUUCCACCGACUAACAUGCAACUUGUAUUGCAUAAGGUGGAUGUCGGGUGUCUGUCUCUCCUACUUUAGUUGAAUCUAAUUUGACAAAGGCGGUCCUUGUAGAAGGUUAAAAGGCAAUUUGACUAUCACCAUUGUGCCUUUCAUAGGUAAGAAUGGUUCUUGCCAGUUGCCCAUAGCAGCCACGUAAAAUUUGCAACGACAAAGUAGAGGACGUCUAACUUGGUUUUGCAGGGCAUGUUGUGAUGUGAUAUGGCCAAAACGUGAUGUGAUAUAUGUUGAUGUAUGGGAUGAUCAUGUUUUGUAAUAGGUUCAUGACUUGCAUGUCGAUGAGUACAUCAACCGACAUGAGCCAUAGGGUUGUAUUUAAUUUAUUUUAUGACAUGUGUGUCACCUAAUAACGUCAUGUAAUUGCUUUACUUUAUCACUAUGCGUUAGCAAUACGUGAAGACACAAUGAUGGAGAUCAUGGUGUCAUGCCGGUGAAGAUGGAGAUCAUGACGGUGCUUUGGAGAUGGAGAUCAAAAGCACGAGAUGAUAAUGGCCAUAUCUUGUCACAUAUAUUUAUUGCAUGUGAUGUUUAUCUUUUUAUGCAUCUUAUUUUUCUUAGGACGAAAAUAACAUUAUAAUAUGAUCCAUUCACUAAAUUUCAACAUAAAAGUGUUCUCCCUAAGUAUGUACCGUUGCGUAAGUUCGUCGUUUCGAAGCACCUCGUAAUGAUCGGGUGUGAUACUCUACGUUCAUACAAUGGGUGUAAGCUAGUUUUACACAUGCAGAAUACUUGGGCUAAACUUGACGAGCCUAGCAUGUACAAACAUGGCCUCAGAACACAGAGGACUGAAAAGUCGAACAUGAGUCAUAUAGUAGAUAUGAUCAACAUGGAGAUGUUCACCAUUGAUGACCAACCCAUCUCAUGUGAUGAUCGGACAUGGGUUGGUUGAUUUGGAUCAUGUAACACUUAGACAACUUGAGGGAUGUUGAUUUAAGUGGGAGUUCAUUAGUAAUAUGAUUAAUUGAACCAAUUAUCAUGAACAUAGUCUUAAUAUCUUUGCAAAAUUAUGUUGUAGAUCAGUGGCUCGUGUUGUAGCUCCCCUGAAUUUUAAUGCGUUCCUAGAGAAAGAAAAGUUGAAAAAUGUUGGAAGCAACUAUGCGGUCUCGAUCCAUAAUUUGAGAAUUAUCCUCACAACUGCACAGAAGGAUUAUGUCCUUGAUGCACAUCUAGGUGAACCACCCGCUCCUGCAAACCUGGACGCUAUGAACGUCUGGCAGACCAGGAAUGAUGACUACAAGAUAGUUCAGUCCGCCAUGAUUUAUGGCUUAGAACCCGGGCUCCAAAGACGUUUUGAGCACCGCGGAGCAUAUGAGAUGUUCCAGGAGCUGUAAUUGGCAUUUCAAGCUCAUGCCUGGGUCGAGAGGUAUGAUACAUUUGACAAGUUCUUUAGAUACAAGAUGGAGGAGAACAACUCCGUUAGUGAACACAUACUCGAGAUGUCCGGGUAUUACAACUGCUUGAAUCAGUUGGGAGUUAAUCUUCUGGAUGAAGUAGGGAUUGAUAGAGUUCUCUAGUCACUACCACCAAGUUACAAGGAUUUCGUGAUGAACUACAAUAUGAAAGGGAUGAAGAAAAUGACCCCUAACCUCUUCAAAAUGCUUAAAGCCACGAAGUUAGAAUUCAAGAAAGAGCAUCAAGUGUUGACGUUGAAUAAGAACACUAAUUUCAAGAAAAACGGCAAGGGAAAGAAAGGGAACUUCAAGAAGAAUGGCAAGUCAAUUGCCGCUCCUAUGAAGAAACCCAAGGCUGGACCCAAACCCGAGACUGAGUGUUUCUAUUUCAAGGGGAAUGGCCACUAGAAGCGGAACUGCCCCAAGUACUUGGCAGAUAAGAAGGCUGGCGAUGUCAACAAAGGUAUAUUUGAUAUACAUGCUAUUGAUGUGUACCUUACUAGUGCUCGUACUAGUGCAUGGGUAUUUGAUACUGGUUCGGUUGCUAAUAUUUGUAACUCAAAACUGGAGCUGCGAAUUAAACGAAGACUAGAUAAGGAUGAGGUGACGAUGCGCGUCGGAAAUGGUUCGAAGAUUGAUGUGAUCGCCGUUGGCAUGCUCCUUCUAUGUUUACCUUCGGGAUUAGUUACAAACCUAAAUAAUUGCUAUUUGGUGCCUGCGUUGAGCAUGAACAUAAUAUCUAGAUCUUGUUUAUUGUGAGAUGGUUAUUCAUUUAAGUCAGAGAAUAAUGGUUGUUCUAUUUAUAUGGAUAAUAUCUCUUAUGAUCAUGCAUCCCUUGUGAAUGGUUCAUUAUUGUUGAAUCGCAAUCAUAGUGAUACACAUUUUCAUAAAAUUGAUGCCAAAAGAUGCAAAUUUAAUGAUGGUAGUACCACAUACUUGUGGCACUACCGCUUAGGUCAUAUUGGUGUAAAGUGCAUGAAGAAACUCCAUGCUGAUGGACUUUUGGAAUCACUUGAUUAGGAAUCAUUUGAUACAUGUGAACCAUGCCUUAUGGGCAAGAUGACUAAAACCCCGUUUUCCAGAACAAUGGAGCGGGCUAGUGACUUGUUGGAAAUAAUACAUACUGAUGUAUGCGGUCCGGUGAGUGUUGAAGCACAUAGUUAAAGGUGGAAACAGUCAAGCCCAACAUGACUUUGGGCCUGUUAAAGGCCUGUCGCGUAAUUUGGCCCGUUGAUGCCUGUACUAAGCUUUCGGCCUCUUAAAGGCCUGUCGCGUAAUUCGGCCCGUUGAUGCCUAUACUAAGGCCCAAGAUAUGUUUCGGCCUGGUAACGGCCCGUGAGCUAACUGGGCCCAAAACGGCUCGGUCUACAUUUCGGCCUUCUGAAGGCCCGGUGAUUGCUAGAGAAAAUUGAGGCCCAACAUGCAUUUUGGCCUGCUAAAGGCCCAUGGUUUCAUCUCGGCUGUAAUAGGCCAGUACAAUAUUCAGCCUGUUAAUGGCCCAAUGCUACCUGGGCCAAACUAAGCGUUGGGUCGACAAAAGGCCCAACUAAAUAUAGGCCGGUGUAAGUUUGGGCCUGGCGCAAUGUGUAAAGGCCCCAAUCAUUCGGGCCCAAGAAAGACGCAGGCCGGCCCAAUUGUGGCCCGCUAAAAACCUGGCCCGUUAGAGUCGAAUGUUUCGGCCCGGUCGACUACAUCUGAUUUUUUUUCAGAUAGCGAAUGAUGGUAGUAACUAGUAGGAAUUAAGAACAAACCUACUCUAUACAAUAAAGAAAUUAUGGCAUAUUAACUAAGAAUAAACCUACACUAUAUAAUAAAGGUUUUAAGGUAUAUUACAUCUACUGGGCAUCGAAGUUCGCCACAGUGAUCAUAAAGCGCAAUGAAGUAGCAGAUUACAAAAAAUGGGCACCAUUGCAGCAUAACAAAAUAAUACUGAACCGAGACCACUUCCAAGACAGUUCAAGAAAGGUUAGCCUUGCGGGGGAACUGCUGCGCAAGUUGCUGAGAGCAUGUCGGUCAUAGCUUCCAGGUGUAGUUGUUUAGCGAUGAGGUUCUCAUUGGUGUUCUCCGCAAUCUUUCUUAGAGAUAGGACUUCUAGUCGAAGUUGAGUUUGCAGAAUACUUUUCUGCUAGAACUUGGGACUGGAGAAGUCAAACUGAUUUGGACAAGAAAUUCUGUGAGCUUGUGUGACUGUUAGUCUCAAGUAACUUGAACACUACAUCAAGACAAGACUUUGGGGUUGUCUCGCUAUCUUCAAGAUGUUUUGCCUUCUUUGCUGCAAUAUAUGUUGGGUUUGUCUCAUAGCCUUCAACAGACUUGUGCAUGCCAUCAGGCAUAUCACCCUGAAACAAAGCAGAGAGAUGACAGGUUUUGCACGUGUAUAAACAAAGAUGAUAACUGUUCUGUCAAUUCUAUCCAAUUUCAAAUUAGAAAAAUAAAGAGUAAGUUCAAAAUAUCAAUAGCAUAAUUUGGCAUUGUUCAUAAUGCGGGGAGCUUCACCACACUACUGGAUUACCAUGUCAACAUAACAAGCAUAGAUGAAGGGCAAAGAAAAUCAUUGUAUUUAUUUUGGAUAAUGUGCAUGACAUGUUGUUCAUACCAUUAGCCACAUCAGUAAGAUAAAACAGGAGAUGACAAGGUGCAAACGUGGGCUGCUUCACCACACACUGGAUUAUAGAUCCACAAAACCAAGCAUACAUAUAGGGAGUACUAAGUAAUGUGCAUGGUACGAAUAAGGAAUUUGGUUUUACAAGUAAAACUUAGAACUUACGGUUCUUACGAACAUGCAUUUUGGUAGAAACAACAAACUAAACAACAGUAAACGAUAGGGAGUAUGAGCAAAUUAAACAGCAGUUGAGGAUAAAGGCUUUAGAAGGACUGACUUACACUAACAGUUAACACCGUCUUUAUAAUUCCCUUCUCCAUGUCAAGGGAAGGAUAACUCAAGAAUUUCAGCACAUAAUCUUCUUCAUAAGCAUUGCCUGUACUCUACAUUUUGUAGAGAGUAAUUAUAGAUAUGAUAAUACUGGAAGGGAUAGAGGAUAAUGAAGAUAAGAUGCAGAUUGAUGCUACAUAAUCAACUACCAAUCCCUAGAAGUACAAUCGUUACAGGACAAAAUGUACUGACAAGAGCAAUGGGCUACACUUCUGCACUGGCAUUGUCUGUGUAUUCUACUUGUUGGUAAUAUUAAAUAUAGAUCUGAUCUUUUUUAGUAAAUGGUGGGCGAGGGAGAUAAGAUGCAGAAUGCUACAAAAUGAACCAAUCUCUCUUCCCAUAAUACAAGAGUGUUUUGAACACUGGUGUACUAUACAAAACGUUCUUAUAUUAUGGGACGGAGGGAGUAGCUGUUAAUGUAAGUAUAGUGAUAGACCACGUUCAGUCCUUACAAGAGGACUACAGAGCUAAACCUCUUCAAAAGCAUUGGGUUGAUUCUAAAUUUGUGUAAGAGUCCAUACGGAUCUUAUAAUGUCCACCAAAUGGACGAUUACGAGGCUAACAUGUGCAGUGAUGCUACAUAAUCAAACAACUAUGAAAGUAAGUAUGGUCAUACAGGGCUAGAGGUACUCACAAGAGCAAUGCAGUGUGCAGUAUAGUUGUGAGAUUCUGUGGUCAGUUGAGAACGAAUGUUCUUCUGCUAACAGUUUUCGUACAAGUGAGACAUUAAGGCAAAUGCAGAAAUGUAGUUCAAAUUGUGAUGUGAUAUCAUAGACAGUACCUUACGCUGUAGCUGAGACCAAUGUGUAACAAGAUUAUUUCAGUCACCGUCGGAUAAAUGUAGCACCAGAGACUUUACAGAAAUUUUGUUCAGAGGCUUGCCAUCGAAGUGCGCUUGCCUCAAGUAGGAACGAUACUUCAUCAACAAGUGCUUGAAAAGCGCAACCAACCCUUGCUCGUCAUCACAAUCCAGUUUGCUCCUCGCCUAUUUCAAAGAAUGAAAUCUUGUAUCUUCUGUCAGCAGAAACAUAUGCAGUAAUGACCAUGAAUAAUAUUAGUACAUUAGUUACGCAUAAGUUGCGGAGGAAGACUGGAAAUUGUUCUGUGUCUGCAGUAUAAUCUUUCCAUGAAGGAAAGAUGUGCAUAAAGUUCCUGACAACAACAUAAGCUUCGUCUUCUAAACUGGGAAGGAAUGGAACAGGGGUCCUAUUUGCUGCAAUUGGGGCUCUCUUUGGUUCAAAAAGGGAUUUGGCAACUGGAUUUGUUGUACUCUUUGCUGGAAUGGGGGUUUUGCAUCGUAUAGCUGGUGCUAUGUCAACUGGCAUAAUCAUACUGUUUGCUGCAGUUGGGGUCUGCUGAGUUGGGGCAUCAGAAAUGACCAGUGUAGUAGGGCUAGAGUCUGCUAGAGUUGGGGUAUUUUGUGGGUCAGAUGAUAUUGCAACUACACCUAAUGGGCUAUUUGACUUAUCAGGUGCCACUACCUUUUCCAAAUACUUUGCUUGUGCUCCUCCACGAUCAGAAAUCGCCCUCUUCCUUUUGAACGUCUGAUACACAAGAACAACAUUUGAAUGGAUAAAUAUGGUAUGAUGAUAGAUGGAAUAUGUACUGAAAAUGGAUAGGCAGGGCGUAUUCACAUACACGAUGUGUAAACUAAGCUAAUGGCAGUUCAACAAAGUAGAAGCAAUGCAAAGCAUCAAUUGCAAGAUAUGUGCGAGCAAUGUAACCUUGGAAAGUUAGAGCAAGUACCUUGAUGGGUGAAUAAGAUAGGGCAUCUUCCUCUGACUCCUCCACUAGGGAGCUACAUUGACUUAAGUCUCCCUCUAGCUCAGAAUCACUGUUAGGAUCAUAUUCUGAGCAUGAAUCUGUAGGUGGAGAACGUUUGCAUUGCAUUGCAUCCAGACUUGAUUUCAGUCCCUUAAUGCCAAGUUUGACAGCCAUGGCAUUGUUCUGCUUUAUUCUUUUCAUGCGCGCAAGCUCAUAAUCAUUAUGAUGCUGUUCAGAAUCUGAGAUUCAUGAAAACAUAAAAGUAGUCAGAUUGUCUAUGCAAUGCAUUGCGGAUUCAACUCGGAGAGUGUCUCCCUAUAAACCCUUGGAUAUGCAAAGUUCACCUCCCCAACCGUGCUAACCAGACCACACACAGAAAUACAAACCCCUUAUGUCUCUAUAAUAGGCAGGCACACAUUUCAAAACUGAAGUAGGAACAUUAGAAUCAUAUGAAAUUCAUAUUUGAACAAAUAAACUAAGCAAUUAUGAGUGGCGCAAUGUUUAGCUUCAAGGGUGGAGUGUUGGUAGUGCGACACAAAGCAAGUAGGCAGAUUGUAUUCCAUGUAAAAGAUCGAAACCUAUGUAAAAGCUGGAAAUGACACUUUCUUUCUAUACAAUGCAGUGUUCGUUACCCACACAUGAUGGAAGAGAUCACAUAGAGAAAUACUAUUCACUCAUGUCUACGGUUCCAGUAUUUAGAAACAAGGUGGUCCACCCUAAAAGAAUAUUGACAACAAAUAUGACAAGGCAAGCAUAGAUGUAGUGAAUCAAUCAUUUACUUGUGAGCUUAUUAGGACAAGUAUGCAGAAUUGUAACUGCAGUAAGAGACCGUCCAAAAUAUGAAUGAAGAAGUUUGUCUAGCACUUAUUGUUUGCAACUAAUCGACGUGAAUAAUUGGAUAUUAUAUCAAAUGAGUAAGAAAGACAAGUAAAAUUGUCAACAAACCUGGCUUUCAGUAGUAAUAUGGGCCAAUGUCACUACGACCAACAAUCCAAAAUGACUAGUUUCUGUUCCGAGGGCCGGAAUUUUGAAAACCCUGUGAACUUUAGAGGUACUAAAGAUUACCGAAAUACAUCUGAACCAUUAUGUGUAGGUAGCACUGAGCACACAACAAACCCUAAUGACAGUCCUGCCUAAUGAGUAAUGAAUCAAUUAGAAAAUGGGUGAUGAAGAGUGGCUGCUGAGUGUUGAGGACGUAUCUCAGGAUAAAUCGGGUUGGCUUGGUGGGUGCUGCAUGCCUGAGCCCUGAGCGGACUGGGAAGGUAGGCACGGUGGCGCGCCCGGGCAGCGGUGACGCUGUUGGGCGUGCGGCUCCUAGCCUCCUGUUAGUCCGGCGUCUCCUCCUAGAGUCAUGCCGUCCGGGGACGACAAGUCGCCGGCGAGGCAGGCAGCUGGGGGCGAGUAGAGAUCGGAAGCGCGCAGUAGAAUAGAGGGGAAUCGGGGCCUGGGACGACCUAAAAUCCCAGGGUGGGCUGGCCCACCAUGGGCACCCUGUAGAGAUACACACCCGAGCGGCGAACAUGCAUUUUCAAAACUAAUUUAGGAACAUUUAGCUGACCAAUUAAACAACUCUGUUUUAAUAAUAUCAGAUUCGUAUUUGAACAUCUAAGCUUGUUUAGCUUGAUGGAUGGAGUAGUGUUAUUAUGACACGAAGCACGUAUUCUGAUCGUAUAGUGAUCAUAAAAGGGGGGAACUCUAAGCAUACUUUUUUAGCAAAAGAGAGUUUCCCCUCCGAUUUCUAUUAAAGAAACUACCACGGAACCAACAUGAUCGAUUAAACCCUAAGCAUGAUCAAUUAAACCGUAUAAUGGCUGUGCCAUGGCAGAUUUGAAGCUGCAAACCGGAGAAAUGAUAUUUAGCAUCCAUUGUUUGCUUCGAACUAAGAACUAAAUUCUAAGAGCUGAAAAGAAAGUAGAGUAACCAAGUUAAAUUCUAUUUUCUGGCUGAGAUCAAAAAGCUGAGGAGAUAUGAAGUACCACCUCUCUUGCGGCACCGUGUAGGCAUCGGGGGUGCGAUGGCUGUUGGUGGCUUUGAAGCAUAUCUGCGACGGUAGACGUGUGCAUUGGGGGAUAAGUCCCGUUGCGGUGGAAGAGAAGCUCGUGUGAGCGGCCCCGGCAAAGAGGACGACGGCGCCGAUGAAGCGAGAGGACACGAUGCAAGGCUAUUAGUCCGUCGCCGUGGAUGAGAAACGUCCAUCUCUAGCAGUGGACGAUGCGGUCUUGGUAGGCGCUCCGGCAUGGUGGAGGACGGUGGCGAUGGAUGUGGUGGAGGACGACGACGAUGGAUGGGGUGGCCGACAGAGGCUGAUGUGGGGAUGGGGUGUUCUAGCACGGACGGUGUAUGAAUGGGAAAAUGGAGGGAGAGGUACGGGGAACCAUGUUUUUGGGACGCGCCUGUCUGAAAUAUGGGAAAGUUACAAACUUAGCCCCAUUUAAAAUUUGGACGUCUCGUCGGUUGGGGAUAGGGCGGUAAUCUCGCAUCUCGCCAAUAUUUGCCUAGAGCGAUUUUGGGCGAGGAGAGGGUGGUUGGCGCCCAUGGUUGGCGCCCAUGGUGUAUGAACAGGGCUGACAGGUAGGGCGGUUGUGUCACGUCUGAGUGAAGUUACAAACCUGCCCCUAUUGAAAAUAUUUGCCUACAUCGAUUUCGGCCGAGUCGAGUUUGUUUUGCCGCCCACCGUGCAUGAAUUGGGCAUGGAGGGAGAAACAGAGGUCUUUCAGAUGAGCUUGAAUCAAAUGUGUUUUGCCACCCAUGUUUGACGCCCACCAUGUCAGAAUGGGCCCAGAGGCGGUCGUGUCACGUCUAAUUGAAGUUACUAACCUACCCCUAUUUAGAGUAGUGGAAAUCGGGACGAUGGAUUGUCCGUGUAAUGGGUAGACAAUAAUUUCCAUCUCCCAAACACUUGGCUUCGGGCAGCCGACAUGGGAGUGGAUAUUUUGCUGCUUCUUUUGAAUUUUGGGACAAUAAGCAUCCACGUUUACCAUGGCAACUAAAUUCGAAUCCAUUUUGUAUUCCUAUAUGAAUCUUUAUAAAUCAUUCUUUGUGUUUUUAUAUAUCUUCAAAAGGACGACAAAGACGUAUUCCAGUGUCAUAUAUGAAUAUGGUUUACAAAUGUUGAUACUCAAAUUCAAAAACUAGAAUCCAGUUUAAGGUGAAUUCGAAUAUUUGGAACACUUCAUGUCCAACUCAAAUGUCACACACAACAUAAUGUGUACUCCCAUUUAGAUAUGUACACAAGCGAUGUAUCAAGAUUCAAAUACCGAGUCAAUCAACCAAGAAUGUACAGAACUAACAGACAUAUAAACACUUAUAGAGUAUAUGGAUCAAUAAUAUUAACUAACAUACAUAAGCCAGGCCGCUGUACUUUUUUUUGGCUACAACAUCAUCCUUUUUUUAGCCAGCAUCUUGGCCCUUUCCGAUGCGUGCCACUUAUGGUCCAUCUAUACUACUACUAUUGCUGAAUGCACAUUCAGCCCGAUUGGCAUAUUUGUAGGUUUGGCACAACAAUCCAAAUGAAAUGUCUUCGAGUCUUAUCAAUUAAUACAGACUUGUGCUCAAAUAAAAUUACAAACCAAAAAACAAAAAAAAAAUUAUUACAUGAUCUCUAAAACAAAUGGUUUGAUUGAUU